CGGGGUAUAAAAGAGCCCGCACGAGCGACACGGGGUUCUUAGGUUCUUAUGUUCACAGUCCUCGGUUGCUAGAUUCUAUGUGUAGUGUGUAGUGUGUGUGUUUUGUGAGUAUGAAAUAUACAGUGAAACG